CAAAAUAGAUGUUUUUAAUGUUGUCCACUUUUAAAAAGUUUUUUAAGAGACAGGAGUCUCCAAUCUGUCAUCCAGGCCGGAGUGCAGUGGCACAACCAUAGAUCAUUGCAGCCUGGAUCUGCUGGGUUCCAGGGAUCUUCUUACCUCCGCCUCCCAAGUAGCUAGGACCACAGUAUAAUUUAACCUCCCACUUGAAUACAAAGCAUAAUUUGAUUGAGAGGUGUGUUUAUAUCACAUGAAACACAAUAAAGCAG